rnacentral:ncRNA from 1 species
GGUGGCGGGCCCACCGAAAUCGCCAUACAGGUGGAGGUUUCAAACCGCCUUAAGGUGCUGUGGUCAAAAGCUAUGGUAUUGAGCGUUAAGGAAAAGGCAGCGAUAGCUGUCAGGU